AAAUUUUAUUUUUCUUUCGCCUAUGCUCACUCUCUCUCGCCGUCUCUCCCAAAUGGAGAGUCAAAGAUUUUUUUUCCUUUUUGUCGACAAAGUCGAAGAGAUGAUAAGAGGAAGAGAAGAAGGCAAAGAAUUUCCAUGUAGUCAUGACUGCGGUCAUCGUGUAUAUGCUAAGAAUGGAAACCAAGUGAUUGGGAAGCUUACAAGAUGAUUGACGUUUAUAUAUACAUAUGAUCAUUUGGUGUAAUACUGCAAAGUCGUUUAUGAUUGAAGGAAAGGUUUCCCCUGAUCGAGUUGGUAAUUAAAUGACUUUCGUGAUCAGAGUACGAUGAAAUGAGGCACAAGUUCAAUCGAAUACAUUGCUGGAGGUGCUACCCAUAACUCUCAAUCAAACUGGUCCAGGAUUUUAGGAUGAUAAUCAUCAUCUCUCCGGUCACGUCAUCAACAACAACGGAUAGAGCUUGAACAUGGAGAACGCACCUGGUAGCAAAGCAAGACAUUGAGAUAUUGUCCCUACCUCUCUCUUCUUCUCUAAUUGCUUCUUUUUGUUUCCAUUCAUUAAUAGACAGAUUUAAGAUUUGUAUUGAUUUCCAUUCAUUGUUUAGGGAAAAAUUAGUUCUUUGAUCUUGAUUCUCUCUCAAUUUUAUCUGGAAUCUCUUUGUUUCUCCUUUAUUAUAAGUUUGUGCUGAGGCGAUUAACAUGCUAUUUGUAUCCUUUCCUCUCCACAUAUUUACUAUGUGAGGACCAGUGGAAUCCUUAGAACAGCGAUGUUAUUCUGGGGAGAUUAGCAUAGAUUUUUCCAUUUUAGUGAUUGAAUUUGAAAACAAUUUUGAAAUUUGUUUUUAUUCUGAAUGAGUAAUUAUGAUUUGUUUGUUUUUUGUCUUUGUCCUCUCAAUUUGCAGCAGUCCAGUGAGCACCAAAAGCUGAGUGAAGUCUGAUACAUGUUGGCCGAACAAACAAUGAAAUAAAGAACCUUUGGAGCUCAAUUCUCCCAAAAAGACUUCCCAAAACUCAAAUUGACCUACCGAGACGUGUAAAACAUUGGGCCAAGAACGAGAACAAUGUUUGUGUUAUAUGUAAAAUGGCUAUAAGGUGCUCAAAGGCGCUUCUCCUCUCAGAUGUAUCGCUUCAGCAACAGAGUAGUACCAACAUAUGAUGAUGUCAAUGUCGAUGGUGGGGUGGAGUCUGAAGGCAAAGGAGAAGGAGAGACUGAAGUUCAUGGAGAGUCCAAAGCUAAGCCCAGGAGACAUGAGAGCCACAUACCGAUAUUCGCCUUUGCUCGCCCUUCUUCUAACUCCUAAUUCUUUCUUUCAUUGGUCAUUUGGAAAGUUUCUCUUCUCAGCUUCUGGCUAUCCUUACUAUUUUGAAAGACGGUAAGGUACCUGAGAAGAUAUGUACAUAUUCUGUAAUGAUUUGGCUUUUCAAUCCGUUUACAUUCACUGUUAGAACCAGAGGGAACUGUUAACCCAUGGUUUGUGCCAUAGUAUUAUGGAUCAUCAUCUCUCUUAUGCAAGGUUGCUCCGUACCAAAAAAAAAAAGACGAGUCGCUUUCUAAAGAUCCUGCUGGCAAGAUUUUGCGUCGGGAGCUUACUAAAAUUGUUGUGGAUGAUGAGUUUCUUUUGCUCAAGCAUUUUUCUCCAUGUUCUGGCCUCUUCUUCAUCACCAGCAAUGUGUUUCCGAAGGUCAAUACUCAAAUAAUUUUGGACGGAGAAACCAAAACUAUUUCUUUUAGAAAUAGAGUAAAUUAACAAGUAUAAGAGAGAGACACGGAGAAAGAUGAGAAAGAAGUGUUCUUACCUCACGUACUCGGUCUGCUUUUGUUGCUUUGCGUCUUUCCGGCUCCAUUUUCAGUCACAGUUCCGAGGAGGUUUUCAAUCUCUUUGAAGAGAAAGAGCCAAGCUUGGAGUUGGAGGAAAUGAAGCAAGCUUUUGAUGUCAUUGAUGAAAACAAAGAUGGGUUUAUGAUCCAGUUUUGACUGCUGUUAUUCAAUUAUGUAUUUGAUUAAUACAAUCCUCUCUUAUUUAGUUGGAAUGGAUUUUAAGAUAUUUUUCCCGUCUAAAGCAUGAGUUACACAAA